GACCCGCACAGGUGGAGGUGGUCAGGCCCCUGAUUAAGGCUGAACGUGCAAGGAGGAACCAGACGCGAAGGACUGGAACAAGGUCGAGUUGUUUGGAUUGAUUAAGAGCUUGUUAUCACAUGAAGCUGCAGCAGAUGUGUAGACCGGAGGAACCUCGUGAGCCGAGCACGGCGCAGCCAUUUGAGACGGAUGUCACGGAAAGACAAGAAGGCCCAUCCGUGUUGAUAAGUUCCAAAAAUAGAAUGUUUCCUGUUUCCACUGAAACCCUUUUCUGUCCUUCUGCAUCGCUGCUGCGGUUUUUCCAACAAUCAGCAGGUGUUGGUGCAGCGUGUGACCACGAAGAGAGAUCCAAGACGUAGCCUCUAUUGCUCCACACCACACUAAUUACACUCAUGCAAACAUUUAACAUUUGUGUUGUGAUAAAAUCUAAUUCAAGUGCAA